rnacentral:rRNA from 1 species
GAUGAACGCUGGCGGCGUGCCUAGUACAUGCAAGUCGAGCGAACGGACGAGAAGCUUGCUUCUCUGAUGUUAGCGGCGGACGGGUGAGUAACACGUGGAUAACCUACCUAUAAGACUGGGAUAACUUCGGGAAACCGUAGCUAAUACCGGAUAAUAUUUUGAACCGCAUGGUUCAAAAGUGAAAGACGGUCUUGCUGUCACUUAUAGAUGGAUCCGCGCUGCAUUAGCUAGUUGGUAAGGUAACGGCUUACCAAGGCAACGAUGCAUAGCCGACCUGAGAGGGUGAUCGGCCACACUGGAACUGAGACACGGUCCAGACUCCUACGGGAGGCAGCAGUAGGGAAUCUUCCGCAAUGGGCGAAAGCCUGACGGAGCAACGCCGCGUGAGUGAUGAAGGUCUUCGGAUCGUAAAACUCUGUUAUUAGGGAAGAACAUAUGUGUAAGUAACUGUGCACAUCUUGACGGUACCUAAUCAGAAAGCCACGGCUAACUACGUGCCAGCAGCCGCGGUAAUACGUAGGUGGCAAGCGUUAUCCGGAAUUAUUGGGCGUAAAGCGCGCGUAGGCGGUUUUUUAAGUCUGAUGUGAAAGCCCACGGCUCAACCGUGGAGGGUCAUUGGAAACUGGAAAACUUGAGUGCAGAAGAGGAAAGUGGAACUCCAUGUGUAGCGGUGAAAUGCGCAGAGAUAUGGAGGAACACCAGUGGCGAAGGCGACUUUCUGGUCCGUAACUGACGCUGAUGUGCGAAAGCGUGGGGAUCAAACAGGAUUAGAUACCCUGGUAGUCCACGCCGUAAACGAUGAGUGCUAAGUGUUAGGGGGUUUCCGCCCCUUAGUGCUGCAGCUAACGCAUUAAGCACUCCGCCUGGGGAGUACGACCGCAAGGUUGAAACUCAAAGGAAUUGACGGGGACCCGCACAAGCGGUGGAGCAUGUGGUUUAAUUCGAAGCAACGCGAAGAACCUUACCAAAUCUUGACAUCCUUUGACAACUCUAGAGAUAGAGCCUUCCCCUUCGGGGGACAAAGUGACAGGUGGUGCAUGGUUGUCGUCAGCUCGUGUCGUGAGAUGUUGGGUUAAGUCCCGCAACGAGCGCAACCCUUAAGCUUAGUUGCCAUCAUUAAGUUGGGCACUCUAAGUUGACUGCCGGUGACAAACCGGAGGAAGGUGGGGAUGACGUCAAAUCAUCAUGCCCCUUAUGAUUUGGGCUACACACGUGCUACAAUGGACAAUACAAAGGGCAGCGAAACCGUGAGGUCAAGCAAAUCCCAUAAAGUUGUUCUCAGUUCGGAUUGUAGUCUGCAACUCGACUACAUGAAGCUGGAAUCGCUAGUAAUCGUAGAUCAGCAUGCUACGGUGAAUACGUUCCCGGGUCU